rnacentral:rRNA from 1 species
UACAGAGGUCUCAAGCGUUGUUCGGAUUCAUUGGGCGUAAAGGGUGCGUAGGUGGCGCCGUAAGUCAGGUGUGAAAUUUCGGAGCUUAACUCCGAAACUGCAUUUGAUACUGCGGUGCUUGAGGACUGGAGAGGAGACUGGAAUUCACGGUGUAGCAGUGAAAUGCGUAGAUAUCGUGAGGAAGACCAGUGGCGAAGGCGGGUCUCUGGGCCGUAACUGACGCUGAGGAGCGAAAGCAUGGGGAGCGAACAGG